rnacentral:rRNA from 1 species
AUUAAACGCUGGCGGCAUGCCUUACACAUGCAAGUCGAACGGCAGCACGGGGGCAACCCUGGUGGCGAGUGGCGGACGGGUGAGUAACACAUCGGAACGUGCCCUGGAGUGGGGGAUAACGCAGCGAAAGCUACGCUAAUACCGCAUAUUCUGUGAGCAGGAAAGCAGGGGAUCGCAAGACCUUGCGCUUUGGGAGCGGCCGAUGUCGGAUUAGCUAGUUGGUGGGGUAAAGGCUUACCAAGGCGACGAUCCGUAGCGGGUCUGAGAGGAUGAUCCGCCACACUGGGACUGAGACACGGCCCAGACUCCUACGGGAGGCAGCAGUGGGGAAUUUUGGACAAUGGGCGAAAGCCUGAUCCAGCAAUGCCGCGUGUGUGAAGAAGGCCUGAGGGUUGUAAAGCACUUUCAAUCGUG